rnacentral:rRNA from 1 species
UAGCUAGUUGGUGAGGUAAAGGCUUACCAAGGCGACGAUCUGUAGCGGGUCUGAGAGGAUGAUCCGCCACACUGGAACUGAGACACGGUCCAGACUCCUACGGGAGGCAGCAGUGGGGAAUUUUGGACAAUGGGGGCAACCCUGAUCCAGCCAUGCCGCGUGAGUGAAGAAGGCCUUCGGGUUGUAAAGCUCUUUCGGCCGGGAAGAAAUCGCAUGGGCCAAUACCCUGUGUGGAUGACGGUACCGGAAUAAGAAGCACCGGCUAACUACGUGCCAGCAGCCGCGGUAAUACGUAGGGUGCGAGCGUUAAUCGGAAUUACUGGGCGUAAAGCGUGCGCAGGCGGUUUUGUAAGACAGGCGUGAAAUCCCCGGGCUUAACCUGGGAACUGCGUUUGUGACUGCAAGGCUAGAGUACGGCAGAGGGGGGUGGAAUUCCACGUGUAGCAGUGAAAUGCGUAGAGAUGUGGAGGAACACCAAUGGCGAAGGCAGCCCCCUGGGUCGAUACUGACGCUCAUGCACGAAAGCGUGGGUAGCAAACAGGAUUAGAUACCCUGGUAGUCCACGCCCUAAACUGUGUCAACUAGGUGUUGGGUGGGUAAAACCAUUUAGUACCGUAGCUAACGCGUGAAGUUGACCGCCUGGGGAGUACGGCCGCAAGGUUAAAACUCAAAGGAAUUGACGGGGACCCGCACAAGCGGUGGAUGAUGUGGAUUAAUUCGAUGCAACGCGAAAAACCUUACCUACCCUUGACAUGCCAGGAACUUGCCAGAGAUGGCUUGGUGCCCGAAAGGGAGCCUGGACACAGGUGCUGCAUGGCUGUCGUCAGCUCGUGUCGUGAGAUGUUGGGUUAAGUCCCGCAACGAGCGCAACCCUUGUCGUUAAUUGCCAUCAUUUAGUUGGGCACUUUAACGAGACUGCCGGUGACAAACCGGAGGAAGGUGGGGAUGACGUCAAGUCCUCAUGGCCCUUAUGGGUAGGGCUUCACACGUCAUACAAUGGUCGGUACAAAGGGUUGCCAAGCCGCGAGGCGGAGCCAAUCCCAGAAAGCCGAUCGUAGUCCGGAUUGCAGGCUGCAACUCGCCUGCAUGAAGUCGGAAUCGCUAGUAAUCGUGGAUCAGCAUGUCACGGUGAAUACGUUCCCGGGUCUUGUACACACCGCCCGUCACACCAUGGGAGCGGGUUCCGCCAGAAGUAGGUAGCCUAACCGCAAGGGGGGCGCUUACCACGGCGGGGUUCGUGACUGGGGUGAAGUCGAAACAAGGUAGCCGUAGGGGGACCUGCGGCUG